UCUCCACAGGGAUGUGAACGAGGACAUGGAGACUGAGGCAAUCUAUGUUAAUGCUCGACCUCCUGGAUGGAGAAAUCAAUAAAGUCGCCGGUGAAGCAAAACCUGAUGGAGCUGCAGACCAAACCAUCUUUUAUUUUUCUGUUCAGCUACUGAAUUUUUAAUCAUGUAGAACUUUUUUUUGUUGUUGCUUUUAUUGCUAACACAUUGUUAUGAGCAGUGAUUUCCAAUAUUAUGUUUAAUUUUCCUCAUUUUUUAUUUGCUAAUUGUCUUUGUGCACAUAGCACCAUAUUACAUAUCCUGUUUACUCAGGCUGAGAAUCUGGACAGGCAAGGCAGGGCAACUUUAUUUAUAAAGUGCAUUUUUAAACAAGAAAUUGGUGGCCAGUGCACUGAACAAAUAAAAACACACAAAGGCACACGCAACACGUAAAACAUUCAGAGAAAUAAAACCACAAAACAUAAAACAAGGUUAACCAGAGGCAGUUCCAGUCUUUAAGGAAACCCUGGACUGAGCCCAGACUGGAUGUAAAUUCAAAGAAGAAGCAAAGAUUUUUGUAAUAUAAAAAAGGUGUUACAGUAGACUAUAGAUAGCAGGACACAGACUGUAGAGAGUCUAUAAAAGAAUUUUAUGUCCAGAUCCAGGCAUGUUUAAACAGAGCAAUGUUCAUCUAAUGCAUAAUGAAGUAUAACGUAAAAUCUAAUGUUAGAUCUAAUAUCUAAUGCUUUCUGUUUUUGAAAAUUGCAUUUGAAGUAAAAGAAAAUCUCUCUUCA